rnacentral:lncRNA from 1 species
UGGACGUGUUCUUGAUAGUGUCUCCAGCGGUGGCGCCAUGCUGCUACAGCCAGGUUCUGUCUGUGUGUGAGGGCAGACGGUUCAGUCUAAGGGGGGUCCAGAGGCUGCAGCUCCCCACCAAACGAACCCAGGCACUGGGACUCACCGGACAGCAGGUGUCAGUGUUCUGCAGUCCGCCCACUUUUACUGUGGAUGAGAAGAAGUUUGAGCUGUCUUCUCACUGCCUGGUCUUACUUCUGAGGAGAGAGAGUGGCCUGCGUUACUGUGCCAACAGCCCUUGUGAAAGAGUUGGAGACACAGAGGUUGUUGGGAUGUAUCCACAUCAGACUGUCAGAUGAAGGAAAGCUGGACCCGAGCAGCUGCUUUCACAUGUUGCCCUACAGAGAGAGCCUGCUCCAUAGCUUUGGUAAGGGAAGAGUUAACACAGUCUGUCAAUGAUGACCCCCUCCUUGGCUUCCUGGUAUAAUUGAGUUUAUGUUCAUGCUUGGUUCUCAGGUGGGCGUAUGUGGGCCGUACCCAACCCCUGCAAUGUGGUGCUGUCCAAUCAUAGGUGUCCAUUCAACCCAGAGCUGGAGCAGGUGGUGGUGCUUACGCUGGCUGGAAGGGACAUCAGUCAGGGCCUGAGCCUGCUACACAGGCUCUGGACAGGGGACACAACAGGCGAUGUCGAGGAGGAUGGAUUCCAGCUACUGGCCAUGAAGUGGCUGCCCACAUUGUCCCGGCAGCAGGUGCGGGAGGAGGUAUGUGACCGGCUGUGGCAGAGCAGCCUGGUGGGCCUGGCCUCCUCCCCUGCCCUGGUGUGUGCCCUGAGGAGGGUGGACGCCUUCGCCACUCUACGGCAGUUCCUGCCACGGGACUACCCCGGGAACCUGAACAUACUGUUGUCUCCCACUCCUGAACUGGCCUUCAGACAAGCAUCCCUCUUCUUCUCCCUGGGAGACAUGAUCCCUGAUCACAGUGUGCGCCCAUUACUGAAGUUCCUACCCCCACCUCGCAUUAAUGUAGCUGGUUCCCAGUGUGAGUCGUUGUUAAACUGCUUGGUGCAGGGUCCCCAGCCGCUGGUCACACUUCCUGUUCAAGCCUGGAGUGUGGAGCCAUGUUCUGGGGAAAAUCCUCAGCAAAGUCCAGCGGAGUGGUUUCACUGUGGUGGGCCUGCAUGUGCUGGUUCUGGACAAUGGCACAGCUGUGUCACUGGUGUCUGUUGCAGAGAAUCAGACAACUCACGUAUUCCUACUUACCUAAACCAGGCCAGUGGACAGAUUGUUAUAUUGUUUUAA